ACGUAUGGUGCAAGCGUUAUCCGGAUUUACUGGGUGUAAAGGGAGCGCAGGCGGUACGGCAAGUCUGAUGUGAAAUCCUGGGGCUCAACCCCGGUACUGCAUUGGAAACUGUCGGACUAGAGUGUCGGAGGGGUAAGUGGAAUUCCUAGUGUAGCGGUGAAAUGCGUAGAUAUUAGGAGGAACACCAGUGGCGAAGGCGGCUUACUGGACGAUUACUGACGCUGAGGCUCGAAAGCGUGGGGAGCAAACAG
rnacentral:rRNA from 1 species